rnacentral:rRNA from 1 species
AACGUAGGUCACAAGCGUUGUCCGGAAUUACUGGGUGUAAAGGGAGCGCAGGCGGGAAGACAAGUUGGAAGUGAAAUCUAUGGGCUCAACCCAUAAACUGCUUUCAAAACUGUUUUUCUUGAGUAGUGCAGAGGUAGGCAGAAUUCCCGGUGUAGCGGUGGAAUGCGUAGAUAUCGGGAGGAACACCAGUGGCGAAGGCGGCCUACUGGGCACCAACUGACGCUGAGGCUCGAAAGUGUGGGUAGCAAACAGG